rnacentral:piRNA from 1 species
UGGACAGACUCGUGGUGUCUCCUGGU